UACAGAGGGUGCGAGCGUUGUUCGGAAUUACUGGGCGUAAAGCGCGCGCAGGCGGCCUUUUAAGUCUGACGGUGAAAUGCCGGGGCUCAACCCCGUGCCCGCCGGAGAUACUGGGAGGCUGGAGACGAGUAGAGGCAAGCGGAAUUCCGGGUGUAGCGGUGGAAUGCGUAGAGAUCCGGAAGAACACCGGAGGCGAAGGCGGCCCCCUGGCACAACACUGACGCUCAGGUGCGAAAGCGUGGGGAGCAAACAGG
rnacentral:rRNA from 1 species